GCUUAAGUAGUUUAAUUAAAAUGUUGGUUUGUGAAUCCAAAGAUGUAGAUUUAUGUACUUUAGGCA
rnacentral:tRNA from 1 species